rnacentral:ncRNA from 2 species
CGUCUGAUUAAGGGGAAAGCAGGGUGAAAAUCCCACACAACCGCCAUUACCGUCAAAGUCGGAAUGCCCGCCAUGCA